CACUCCUACGGGAGGCAGCAGUAGGGAAUCUUCGGCAAUGGGGGCAACCCUGACCGAGCAACGCCGCGUGAGUGAAGAAGGUUUUCGGAUCGUAAAGCUCUGUUGUAAGUCAAGAACGAGUGUGAGAGUGGAAAGUUCACACUGUGACGGUAGCUUACCAGAAAGGGACGGCUAACUACGUGCCAGCAGCCGCGGUAAUACGUAGGUCCCGAGCGUUGUCCGGAUUUAUUGGGCGUAAAGCGAGCGCAGGCGGUUUGAUAAGUCUGAAGUUAAAGGCUGUGGCUCAACCAUAGUUCGCUUUGGAAACUGUCAAACUUGAGUGCAGAAGGGGAGAGUGGAAUUCCAUGUGUAGCGGUGAAAUGCGUAGAUAUAUGGAGGAACACCGGUGGCGAAAGCGGCUCUCUGGUCUGUAACUGACGCUGAGGCUCGAAAGCGUGGGGAGCGAACAGGAUUAGAAACCCGGGUAGUCCCAUG
rnacentral:rRNA from 1 species